AACGAACGCUGGCGGCAGGCUUAACACAUGCAAGUCGAACGCACCUUCGGGUGAGUGGCAGACGGGUGAGUAACGCGUGGGAACCUUCCCUGUGGUACGGAAUAGCUCCGGGAAACUGGAAUUAAUACCGUAUACGCCCUUUUGGGGAAAGAUUUAUCGCCAUAGGAUGGGCCCGCGUCGGAUUAGCUUGUUGGUGAGGUAAAGGCUCACCAAGGCAACGAUCCGUAGCUGGUCUUAGAGGAUGAUCAGCCACACUGGGACUGAGACACGGCCCAGACUCCUACGGGAGGCAGCAGUGGGGAAUAUUGGACAAUGGGCGCAAGCCUGAUCCAGCCAUGCCGCGUGAGUGACGAAGGUCUUAGGGUUGUAAAGCUCUUUUGGCGGGGACGAUAAUGACGGUACCCGCAGAAUAAGCCCCGGCUAACUUCGUG
rnacentral:rRNA from 1 species